rnacentral:misc_RNA from 1 species
UGGCCUUGACACGCAAGUGGUAGAACCAUGAAAGUGGGACGACCCCGCAAGGGGAGCUUGCACAGGUGCUGCAUGGCUGUCGUCAGCUCGUGUCGUGAGAUGUUGGGUUAAGUCCCGCAACGAGCGCAACCCUCGCCUUUAGUUGCCAUCAUUCAGUUGGGCACUCUAGAGGGACUGCCGGUGAUAAGCCGGAGGAAGGUGGGGAUGACGUAGACCUUGGACC